UUUUUAGCUGUUAGGAUGAUAUAUAUUUAAACCAUUUCUGUCAUAGCUCCAAAUUUUGCAUCUUUUGAAUUUCAUGUGUUAUCUGAAAAAAACCUUUUUUUUUUUCUAAUUUUAUUUUAAGUGAUGUCUCUUUUGAGAUAAACCACUUCAUUAAGGCUUUGGGGAAGAGGACAUUGCAUUUUUCUAACCUGAUGAGUUGGAAAGAGUCACAACAGACAGAGAAAAUGAGUGUCGAUUAACCAUCCACAAACGCUACCUUGACCCAGCUGCCCCCUGGAACUUCAGCGUGGUGUUUGUGGCUGAACUACCUUUUCCAGCUAGUGAAUAAAAUUUUUGUGUCAAAAACGUCA